ACCAUUCCAUGAAAAUGGAGCUCUAUAGGAGAAAGCCCUGCCUCCAGCUGUUUGCUUAGAAAUUCUAAGGACAGUAAGGAGGCCUGUGUCUUGUGACCGUAGCGUACAUGUAGGUAUGUACGGCAGGACCAAAUCAGAAAGAUAGGUAGGAGCAAGCCCAUGUAAUGCUUUGUAGGUUAGCAGUAAAACCUUGAAAUCAGUCCUUGCCUUAACAGGAAGCCAGUGUAGGGAGGCACUGGAGUAAUAUUAUCACAUUUUGGGGUUAUAGUCAAGAUUCUAGCAGGCGUGUUUAGCACUAACAGAAGUUUAUUUAGUGCUUUAUUCAGGUAACCUGAAAGUAGAGCAUUGCAGUAGUCUAACCUAGAAGUGAGAAAAGCAUGGAUACAUUUUUCUGCAUCCGUUUUGGACAGAAAGUUUCUGGUUUUUGCAAUGUUACGUUCGUCAAAAGAGAGCUCAGGGUCCAGAGUAACUCCAAGGUCCUUCACAGUUUUAUUUGAGACGACUGUACAACCAUCAAGAUUAAUUGUCAGAUUCAACAGAAGAUCUCUUUGUUUCUUGGGACCUAGAACAAGGAUCUCUGUUUUGUCCUAGGUUAAAAGUAGAACAUUUGUCAGUCAUCAUUCAGGUAGGUCCUAGCCAGUCAUCAUUCAGAUAAGUCCUCCUAGCCAGUCAUCAUUCAGGUAGGUCCUCCUAGUCAGUCAACCAGUCAUCAUUCAGGUAGGUCCUCCUAGUCAGUCAUCAUUCAGGUAGGUCCUCCAAGUCAGUCAUCAUUUUGAUAGUUCCUCAUAGUCAGUCAUCAUUCAGGUAGGUCCUAGCCAGUCAUCAUUCAACCAGUCAUCAUUCAGGUAAGUUCUCCUAGUCAGUCAUCAUUCAGGUAGGUUCUCCUAGUCAGUCAUCAUUCAGGUAGGUCCUCCUAGUCAAUCAUUUAGGUAGGUCCUCCUAGUCAGUCAUCAUUUUGGUAGUUCCUCCUUGUAAGUCAUCAUUCAGGUAGGUCCUCCUAGUCAGUUAUCAUUCAGGUAGGUCCUAGCCAGUCAUCAUUCAACCAGUCAUCAUUCAGGUAGGUUCCCCUAGUGAGUCAUCACUCAUUCAGGUAGGUCCUCCUGGUCAAUCAUUCAGGUAGAUCCUCCUAGUCAGUCAUCAUGUUGGUAGUUCCUCCUAGUAAGUCAUCAUUCAGGUAGGUCAUCCUAGUCGGUCAUCAUUCAGGUAGGUCAUCCUAGUCAAUCAUUUAGGUAGGUCCUCCUAGUCAGUCAUGAUGUUGCCAGUCAUCAUUCAACCAGUCAUCAUUCAGGUAUGUCCUCCUAGUCAAUCAUUUAGGUAGGUCCUCCUAGUCAGUCAUGAUGUUGGUAGUUCCUCCUAGUAAGUCAUCAUUCAGGUAGGUCCUCCUAGUCAGUCAUCAUUCAUGUAGGUCCUAGCAAGUCAUCAUUCAGGUAGGUUCUAACCAGUCAUCAUUCAGGUAGGUCCUCCUAGUCAGUCUUCAUUCAGGUAGUUCCUAGUCAGUCAUCAUUCAGGUAGGCCCUAGUCAGUCAUCAUUCAGGUAGGUCUUAGUCAGUCAUAUUUCAGGUGGGCCCUAAUCAGUCAUCAUUCAGUUAUUCCUAUUAAGUCAUCAUUCAGGUAGGUCCUCCUAGUCAGUCAUCUCUCAGGUAGGUCCUAGCCAGUCAUCAUUCAGAUAGGUCAUAGUCAAUCAUCAGUCAGGUAAGUCCUCCUAGCCAGUCAUCGUUUAGGUAGGUCCUCAUGGUCAGUCAUCAUUCAGGUAGAUUCUAGCCUGUCAUCAUUCAGGUAAGUCCUCAUAAUCAGUCAUCAUGCAGGUAGGUCCUCCUAGCCAGUCAUCAUGCAGGUAGGUCCUCCUAGCCAGUCAUCAUUCAGGUAGGUCAUAGUCACUCGUCUUUCAGGUAGGUCAUAGUCAGUCACAGUGAGGAGAGGGCCUUGCUCUGUUUAUCUUUAGAAGGAUCUUAUCCUUCGUCUAGUUGUGUCUAGUGUUGCAAAAUUACAAGAACUUUAAAUAAUUUCCAUGGUUUUCCAAACAUCCCAGUUGGAGGAUCCCAGAACCAGGAGGAAAUAAGCAGGACAUCCGGAACCCUCCAACCCGGAUUUCUGGAAAACUAGGGAAUUUAUUGACAGUUCCCUGAAUUUUGUAACCCUGGUUGUGUCCCAAUAACUGCAGAAGGAGCUGUGACAGGAGAGGGCCUGUGGGAGUAUAGUGAUGAGAUUGACCACUCUCUCUGUGGUACAACUACUGCUGACUCAUCCUGCACUACCUGCAGGACUCAGGGUUAGUACUCAUCACACACACACACACACACAUUUCCCACAGAUGACAUGUUUGAACCGUCCUUGUGGUUGUCUCGGUGGGUGUAGGUUGACCAGUGAGGGUUUCAACAACUUGUUGUUAGUCUACUCCUCUCUGGUUCUGUUUGGCUUCAAGAGUGAAGAUCUGGAUGUCAAGGUAACAUACAUUUCAGCUCUCUUCAAAAUAAAACUGAGUCUUUCAAUUCACUCUGAUAUGAAAUGUUAACAAAUGUUUUUUUUGCUGACCUACGUCUCUCAAUACCAAUUGCUGAUUGUAUCAGAAGUUGUGUACAUUGCCAAAUGGAUCUGCCAGAUAAGAUGGCGCCGGAGAACAAGGCUGACGUUUUACAUAUUCCUAACCAAUUUUUUGUUUGUUUCUUUGCGUUGUUUGUAACUUUUUUUUUUAAACUUAUUUUGUACGUAAUGUUGCUGCUACUGUCUCUUAUGACUGAAAAUAACUUCUGGGCAUCAUAACUGCGAUUACUCACCACGGACUAGCAGAAUGUCACAACUUCUGCCAAAGUAGGUCCCUCUCCUUGUUCGGGCGGCAUUGUGCGGUCGAAGUCAUCGGCUUUCUAGCCACCCCGAUCCCCUUUUCAUUUUCCAUUUGUUCUGUCUUUGUCUUACACACCUGGAUUCACUCAACCAAUUACUUGUUUAUUAUUUAACCCUCUGUUUCCCAUGUUGUGUUUGUGAGUGAUUGUUAAUUGUAAUUCGGUCCGUCUUUGUGGGGUUGUGAUGUUACUUUGUAUAUUUGUCUUUUGAGUAAAGUACGUUGAUUGCUCAUAUCUGCUGCCCUGCGCCUGACUCUCUACACCAGCUACACACAGGACCCUUACACAGAAUCCUUUUUUUCCUUUAACGAGUCCGACAAGCCCAAUGUGAAUGAUAUACUGCUUACCCGGGAACAGGCCCAGAUCCCCGUGAUUUGCAUGAAGAGAAGGCAGAGAAAAAGGGGCCAGAGGGCGGGCUGCCUUCUGAGAAUUCAUAGGCGAUCGAAUAUAAACCCCCACUUCCUUCCAUUCUGCUAGCAAACGUGUAAUCUUUGGGAAAUAAAAUCGAUGACCUACGCUGAAGAAUAGAUAAUCAACGGGAUAUUCAAAACUGUAAUAUCUUAUGCUUCAUGGAGUUGUGGCUGAACGAUGACAUUAUCAUGGUUAUACACUGUAUCGGCAGGACAGAACAGCGAUGUCAGGUAAGACAACGGGCGGCAGACUAUGUAUUUUUGUAAAUAACAGCUGGUGCACGAUAUCUAAGGAAGUCUCGAGGUUUUGCUCGUCUGAGGUAGAGUAUCUCAUGAUAAGCUGUAGACCACACUAUCUACCUAGAAAGUUUUCAUCUGUAUUUUCCAUAGCUGUCUACAGAGCACCACAGACUGAUGCUGGCACUAAGAUCACACUGAAUGAGCUGGAUUCCGCCAUAAGCAAACAGGAAAACGCUCACCCAGAGGUGACGCUCCUAGUAGCCAGGGACCUUAAUACAGGGAAACUUAAAUCCAUCUUUCCAAAUUUCUAUCAGCAUGUUAAAUGUGCAACCAGAGGGAAAAAACUCUGGACCACCUUUACUUCGCACACAGAGACGUGUACAAAACCGUUCCUCGCCCUCCAUUUGGCAAAUCUGACCAUAAUUUUAUCCUCCUGAUUCCUGCUUACAAACAUAAAUGAAAGCAGGAAGCACCAGUGGCUCGAUCAAUAAAAAAGUGGUCAGAUGAAGCAGAUUCUAAGCUACAGGACCGUUUUGCUCACACAGACUGGAAUAUGUUCCGGGAUUCCUCCGAUGGCAUUGAGGAGUAUACCACAUCAGUCAUUGGCUUCAUCAAUUAGUGCAUCGAUGGUGUCGUCCCCACAGUGACAGUACGUACAUACCCCAACCAGAAGCCAUGUAUUACAGGCAACAUCCGCACUGAACUCACCAAUAAGCAAAGGGCCCUGGGACUAAACACCUCCCUCUGCAACUGGAUCCUGGACUUCCUGACGGGCUUCCCCCAGGUGGUAAGGGUAGGUAACAACACAUUCGCCACGCUGAUCCUCAACACAGGGCCCCUCAGGGGUGCGUGCUCAGUCCUCUCCUGUACUCCCUGUUCACUCAUGACUGCAUGGCCAGGCACGACUCCAACACCAUCAUUAAGUUUGCAGAUGACACAACAGUUGUAGGCCUGAUCACCGACAACGACAAUACAGCCUUUACAUCACUGCCUGGUAUGGCAACUGCUCUGCCUCCGACCGCAAGGCACUACAGAGGGUAGUGCGUACGGCCCAGUACAUCACUGGGGCCAAGCUUCCUGCCAUACAGGACCUCUACACCAGGCAGUGUCAGAGGAAGGCCCUAAACAUUGUCAAAGACUCCAGCCACCCUAGUCAUAGACCAUUCUCCCUGCUGCCGCACGGCAAGCGUUACCGGAGCGCAAUGUCUAGGUCCAAGAGGCUUCUAAACAGUUUCUACCCCCAAGCCAUAAGACUCCGGAACAUCCAAUCAAAUGGCCAUUUGAUGGCUAUAAAUAGCUAUAGUGAUCAUCUAUGCAUAGUCACUUUAAUAACUCUACAUACAUGUACAUUUUACCUCAACUAACCGGUGCCUCCGCACAUUGACUCCGUACUGGUAGCCUCCUGUGUAUGUCUCGCUAUUGUUAUUUUACUGCUGCCCUUUAAUUACUUGUUACUUUUCUUUCUUAUUCUUACUCAUUUCACUGUAAGGUCUAAAUACCGGUAGCCUCCUGUGUAUAGUCUCGCUAUUGUUGGUUUUGACGCAUGUGACUAAUACAAUUUGAUUUGUGUGCUAGACCCUCCGUUAAAUUACGCAUUUCUCGAGGUAGGAAUACAGCAAAAAAUAUGAUCAAUGGCUCAUUCGAGAGAAGACAUCCUCCCGAGUUAUGACAUCGGACAGAUUUGAAAACUGACAUGUAUGAUAGAUGUUUUCGGCAAUCUUUAAAGUCGUAUUCCUAUUAGCUUCCAGUGUAGUGAGUGACUUUAUCACGGUGCUACGUAAUACCAGACGGAUUUCUGCCUGCUUGAAUGCCAAUAACUCAGAUAAACAUGAAAUUACCCAGGGAAUCGAUAGAACAUCACUCAGAGAUGCACAAAAACAAUAUAAUAUUCAAAAUGGGUGAACCUUCCCUUUAAUUUCAUUAUCUAUUGUGUAAUAGUAGCAGUGUCAUCAUUAAAUUCAUUACUGAUGGAAGGAUACAGGUUACACAGAGAGAAUGAGUUGUCCCAGUGGAUGGUUUGUGCGUGUGUAUUUGCGUGUGUGUUUGCAUGUGUAUUUGCAAAUGUAUAUUUGUAUAUGUGAGUGUGUAUGUGCAUACAUGUGUGUAUAUGUUUGUUUGUUAGGUUUCACCCCCUGCUCUCCCCCUGUCUUCCCCCCAUGAACCCUCUAGCGGCUCAGCUAAUGUUGAGGAGGGGCCCCUCUCGCCACUGGCUCCUGGGGACCUCUCUCUCCCAGCUGCAGGAGCUGCUCUCUGAGGUCCCUCACAAAGUCAUCAAGCUCUUCAGUGACACCAGGUCUCUGUACAAGCUGACUGCAGCAGCCUCCUCUCCAGAGUCUCACACUGAGACCACUCAUCAGAAAGACCACAGUAGCUCCACCGACCCUUGUGCCACAACAGAGACAACCAACACCCACACACACUGCGAUGAGAACCAUUCAAGCCUAUCCCCAACAGCUGCCUCGCUGGCUCCCCCAGUGCUGAGAGUUUAGCUAGGAGUUUAUAUGAAGAGAGCUCUCUCAUUACCAAGGAGGACAGUGCAGACUUCCAGGUAGACUUGAGUGAGGCCCCUUUCCAGCACACCUGGAGCCACAACCCAUGGGAGACAGAUGAGGUGAAAUUUGUAGGCUGGAAUAGAGGAGGACGAGGAGAGGAGUGGACAUCCAGAGCAUCCCUACACCAGGAGCCCCGUGGCUCCCCCAGAGACUACGCGCCAGAGAACCCUGUUCAGACAGACCCCUUGUUAUCAUUCAGCUACAGCACCAACACACAGAGACCAGUGUACUCCGACAACCAGAUGUACUCAUACUCUACAGUAGGCUACAGUAAACGGCAGCAGUACCCUGAUGGCAGCCUGGCCUCGCCUAGAGGAGCUCUGCCAUGGGGGGCAGUAGCAGUGGCAGUGGCCCCUACAGCACAACUCAGGGGAGGGGUGACAUGAGUGAGACACCUGACUAUGGGACCAGUUACACGACGGGAUAGAGAGAAAGAGGAGAUCAGAGGCCCCAAAGAUGAACAAUGAGAGUAACAUGUUAGACUGCUGAUGAAGCAAGUUUGCAUUUAAAUAUAUUUUUUAGAGAUCUCCUUUAGUGGUUUGGGAAAGUUCCAGUAUAGCCUCUAGUGUGGAAAUUAUAUCAUUAUUGAGGUAAAUGUGAGAAAUUACGAGAUUUUAUUGUUCUGUUUUCAUGUAUUCUUUUCAGUUUUAAAGGCCAUUGAAGAGGGGAAAGCUUAGUUAUGUGAAGGUGUUAGGCUGAAGGGAUGGACAGAUAAGACUAACCUUUUUCUAAAAUGUCUCUGUGAAAUACUGAGAUAUUAAGAUUUGCCUGAAAAGUGAACAGUAUCCUGUCAGUCCCUUGCCCUGUCAACAACUACAGAUAUUUGGUAUGUAAGAAAUACAUGUAGUAUGCCAUAGGUUCUUGAGUGUUUGAAAGACACUAUUAAAUGUUUAACUGUUGUUGGGAAAAUAUUUGUCAAUUUAUGUGUGUUAAGGUUUUUUUAAAUAAUGAUUUUGUUAAUAUUUUUCUAAGAAGGAUAAGACUAAAUAUACGGUUUUGUUUGACUUCAUAUAAAACACAUAAUGCUAAAGAUAAAUAAUUGUAAGUUAUGCUAGGUCAAAUACUUUUUAAAUUAAAGCCCAUCUGAAAUGUU